UUUAUUUACAGUUAGGUGUAGGGGGGUUCUUGAUCCGUGUUUGGCUGGAUUGGACCAAAGAGAGUGCUGCAAAAAAUUAGUGGUGUCCUAUCUUGGUUGAUUGCCUAACGAUGUUGAUUGGCUAAUUGGGUUGCUGUGAUUUCGAUCCUGUCUUAGUGGAGAAAAAAACUAAACAAAAACAAAAACAAAAAAAACAAACAAACAACUAAUGUGUCGUUAGCGGGUGGUGUAUGCCAGUUGUCAAUCACGAGCUUCAGAACAUGAACAUAUUUACAGUAGAAUAAUAUGGUUAUUGUGGUUGGGUCUGGAUGGCAUUGGCAUAUUUAGUGGUUAUUAAUCACUCGCUACCGUCCCACCGUUAAUCCCCAGGGCCCCGUUCCACAAAGCGACCUUAGCACUACUAUCGUCGUAAGUACCUACUAUCGCGACCAUAACUUUUUCCUACGAUGGCCUACACGUUCCACGAAGCGGCAUAGCUUACUAUCGUCGUAAUUUACGGUGAAAAUUAACAAUAGGUCAGGAGCAACCUUAGUUGCUACUAUCGCGACCGUAAACUGAACGCUGCAAAACUAAAAUGGCUACGUUUUUUCUAUUGACGGAAGAAACAGAAAAAGUGUAUAAAAAGGAACGUGUUUUUAGGGAUAGGACAAGGUUACUGGACACUCUUUCCGAUAAUGAACUGAUUGCUAGAUACAGAAUGCCUCGUAUUGCUAUUUUGUCGCUGACUGACAUGGUGAGGGAAAGCUUACAGUCGGCGACUCGGCGUUCACAUCCCGUAUCACCGGAGAUUCAUGUAUUAAUAACAUUGCGUUAUUUGAGUAAGGGUGGUUUUUUUUCGGAAAUUGCGGAUCUGCAUGGAGUGGCACGGCCAAGUGUUUGUCGAUGUUUGCACCGUACUGUCCGUCGCAUUUGCGACACAUUAGAUAAUAUUAACUUUAACAUCCAUGAACUACGUGAAAUCAAACAUGGCUUUUAUCAAAUCUGUCGGUUCCCUAGGGUAAUUGGAGCUAUUGAUGGGACAUUAAUUGCCAUAAAAAGGCCAACACAUGACGAGGAAGUGUAUGUUUGUAGGAAAGGGUUUCAUGCAAUGAACGUUCAAGCAAUCUGUGACUGCAAACUGCGGUUAGUUAUUGAUACAAAGAAAUAAUAAUUUAAAAAGAUUAAAGUAACAUUACCGUUAGAUAUAUCCAAAUUUUUUCGUUGAAAAUGUAUCAUUAUUAUAUUAUUCAAAGAUCACAUCAUUAAAAAUGUAUUUUAUUUUUUAAACAUUCUUUUAGAUUCAUUAAUGUUGUUGCAAGAUGGCCUGGAUCGUCACAUGACUCCACAAUACUAUCAAACAGUGAACUUGGGAGGGAGCUGGAGACUGAUAUCCUUGCAAACCCUGGCUGAUGACUCCAUUACCAGAAACACCAUCAAGAGCUGAGGAAAAGUACAACAGCUCACACUGCAGGACACGGAAUACUGUGGAAAGAGCAUUUGGUUUACUGAAGUCGAGAUUUAGGUGAAGAUUCAUCGACAGGUGCAAGCGAAGACGUAUUGCUGGAUGCGAUGACAUCAUCUGCUGAUACUGAUAUGCUCAAGUUGUUGUCUAAGAAUUGAAUGAAAUGUAUUAAAAUGCAUGUUGAUUUCAAAUAACAUCGGUCUAACUUGAACAUCAGUUUUCUACAAGAAAUGUUUAGAAACUUGUUCCCACUAUUGUAUCUAAAGGAAACUGAAAGUGUUUGAAAAAUUAACUUAACAUAUACAUUCAUUUUUCUCUAAAGAGACAUACAUUUAAAUUGUCAGUCAAGAUAAUGCAUGUUGUCUUUUGUAUUACAGUUACAAAGUGAAAAGGCAAGACAUAUAGACAGGCAUUUUACCAGAAACUAAUUUUGAGAGAGAUAUGGAUACAUAUAUUCAUGAGAGAGAGAGAGAGAGAGAGAGAGAGAGAGAGAGAGAGAGAGAGAGAGAGAGAGAGAGAGAGAGAGAGAGAGAGACCUAACUAGUGUUUCAAAAAAUACAUUAAUUUCUUUCAUGUACUUCUGCAUAUUUACAUAUGCAGACUUUCUGCCAUAAAAUAAUUGGAGGUACAUAAUAAUAAUGAAAAUAAGUGGCCCAUGGGUUUUAAAUGUUUUGAAUUGGACACUGCUUUGAUUAAUUUUAACCAGCAGUUCUCUUACUAUCGUCUACAUCUGAAAUGUAUGAAAUAUAUCCAUUAAUUUAAAGAUUUUAGGGUACAUAAUUUUAUCCUCUGUACACUCUUGCAGAAACCCUGAUAUGUCCACAAUUCUGUUCUUUAAUUAAUAUAUUAUAAAUGUUUUCUUUCUUUUUCAAUUAACAUUACCAUCAACUAGUGCUGUGUCUGCACCACAUUCUAUUCCCUCCAUCUGAACAACUGGAAUCAAUGACAAGAUAUUGUAUGUGCUUGUAUAAUUAAUGUAUGAAAUGAAUAAAUGUUGGAUCGUACGUGGGUGGGUGUAUACAUAUAAUAACUAAUUUUAUUUCCAUUGUUUGUUAUUGUGUAUUGAAAUGUUUAGUGUUAUUGUAUCACUGUGUAGCUGAAAGUUACUGAUGUAUUUGUUUAAAAGCUAAUUAUAGUUUACCUGGUCUUCAAUGGCAUUGAGAUUGGGUGGUGCAGACCCUCCCCCUGUCAUUGUUGACUCUCUUCUCCAAGUGGUGGCUUUCUUCCGUAUCUGACAUCUGCAAUGUUCAUACAUUAAUUACAAUUUCUAUGUUUCAAUAACUGCACUUUAAUUUGUUCUUUUGAGUGGGUUUUUAAAAAUAAAAUUGUUAUGUGCCAAUAAAUACUGAAAUGAAAUUGAAUUGCAUGCAUUUUUGUUCAUUUGUCAUUACAAUGCAAUAACAAAAUUGAACAUAUUAAAUAAAAUUUGACAUUUAAAAUUAA